rnacentral:lncRNA from 1 species
GUUAUUUGUGUUGAAUAAAAAAAGAGUGGCAAUAAGUAGUUAUUUCAAAGGUGGAAAAGUGUCUACACGAAUACAACAAGAGUCACACAAAGCCAACAAAUACAAUCGGUGUUCGCAUUGGGUAUAUCGCAACUAACUUUGUGGGAAAAAUUUGUUUCUUGAUCCAUUUAUUUUCCAUCACGAAAACAACCUGCAGCUAUGUGUAGAUUAAGAAAGUAGCUUCAGCCAUGAGAUGCCUCAUUACUAUGAUGUUAAAACAAAAACCAAGGCUUUAAACCAGCGAUCAUACAAAUUCAUUAUGUAUCUAUACCACUUGUGUUCAUAUUUACAAUUAUGAC